rnacentral:rRNA from 1 species
UACAGAGGGGGCAAGCGUUGUUCGGAAUUAUUGGGCGUAAAGAGCUCGUAGGCGGUGUGUCGCGUCGGCCGUGAAAACCUGGGGCUUAACUCUGGGCGUGCGGUCGAUACGGGCAUCACUAGAGUUCGGCAGGGGAGACUGGAAUUCCUGGUGUAGCGGUGAAAUGCGCAGAUAUCAGGAAGAACACCAAUGGCGAAAGCAGCUCUCUGGGACGGUACCGACGCUGAGACGCGAAAGCGUGGGGAGCGAACAGG